UAGGCUCAUAGGCCGCCCCACUAG
rnacentral:piRNA from 1 species